AGAGUUUGAUCCUGGCUCAGGACGAACGCUGGCGGCGCGCCUAACACAUGCAAGUCGAACGGAGUUAUUUUGGCAGAAGCCUUCGGGCGGACGCUGAUAUAACUUAGUGGCGAACGGGUGAGUAACACGUGAGCAACCUGCCCUUCAGAGGGGGACAACAGUUGGAAACGACUGCUAAUACCGCAUAAGACCACGGUGUGGCAUCACACAGAGGUCAAAGGAGAAAUCCGCUGAAGGAUGGGCUCGCGUCCAAUUAGCUAGAUGGUGAGGUAACGGCCCACCAUGGCGACGAUUGGUAGCCGGACUGAGAGGUUGAUCGGCCACAUUGGGACUGAGACACGGCCCAGACUCCUACGGGAGGCAGCAGUGGGGAAUAUUGCACAAUGGAGGAAACUCUGAUGCAGCGACGCCGCGUGAGGGAAGAAGGUCUUCGGAUUGUAAACCUCUGUUGUCAGGGACGAUAAUGACGGUACCUGACGAGGAAGCCACGGCUAACUACGUGCCAGCAGCCGCGGUAAAACGUAGGUGGCAAGCGUUGUCCGGAAUUACUGGGUGUAAAGGGAGCGCAGGCGGGAGAGCAAGUUGGAAGUGAAAUCUGUGGGCUCAACUCACAAAUUGCUUUCAAAACUGUUUUUCUUGAGUGGUGUAGAGGUAGGCGGAAUUCCCGGUGUAGCGGUGGAAUGCGUAGAUAUCGGGAGGAACACCAGUGGCGAAGGCGGCCUACUGGGCACUAACUGACGCUGAGGCUCGAAAGCAUGGGUAGCAAACAGGAUUAGAUACCCUGGUAGUCCAUGCCGUAAACGAUGAUUACUAGGUGUGGGAGGAUUGACCCCUUCCGUGCCGCAGUUAACACAAUAAGUAAUCCACCUGGGGAGUACGACCGCAAGGUUGAAACUCAAAGGAAUUGACGGGGGCCCGCACAAGCAGUGGAGUAUGUGGUUUAAUUCGAAGCAACGCGAAGAACCUUACCAGGUCUUGACAUCCCGUGCACAGCUAAGAGAUUAGUGAAGUCCUUCGGGACACGGAGACAGGUGGUGCAUGGU
rnacentral:rRNA from 1 species